GGCCUGGUGCUUACCAUAGGCUGUGUUCUUACACUGACUGUACAGAAAUAGGAUCAGAGUAAGCCCACCCCAUAUACACCGCAGCUCAGGCCUUUGGCCUGGUCUGUAUUGUGAAUGGAGAGACAUUG